CAUCCUGUCUACUGCAAAUCGCUGCAGUUGAUAUAGGACAUGUCCAUUGCCUGCAAUUUUCACUUCGGAAAUAGCAUCAUCGAAGGGAAUGAGAAAUCAGAAAAACCGCCAUAGAAAGCGAUCAAGAACUCAGCACUUGAAAGUAAAAUAUGGAACCGAUAAUAUCGAGAAUGAAGAUUGUUCUAUGGGAGACCUCAUCCAUUUCGGUUGUCGAGAGCACGAUGGAAGCAACUGCGGCAAAUAUGGGGAAACUGGAUUUUUAACGCUACGAAUAGGUAGCAAAGUCAGAUAUAACUGCACAUGAUUAAUAUUAAAAUAAAUUCACUAAAUGCAAAAAUCUA